rnacentral:rRNA from 1 species
AUUGAACGCUGGCGGCAUGCUUUACACAUGCAAGUCGAACGGUAACGCGGGGCAACCUGGCGACGAGUGGCGAACGGGUGAGUAAUGCAUCGGAACGUGCCCAGUAGUGGGGGAUAGCCCGGCGAAAGCCGGAUUAAUACCGCAUACGACCUACGGGUGAAAGCGGGGGACCGUAAGGCCUCGCGCUAUUGGAGCGGCCGAUAUCAGAUUAGCUAGUUGGUGAGGUAAAGGCUCACCAAGGCGACGAUCUGUAGCUGGUCUGAGAGGAUGAUCAGCCACACUGGAACUGAGACACGGUCCAGACUCCUACGGGAGGCAGCAGUGGGGAAUUUUGGACAAUGGGGGCAACCCUGAUCCAGCCAUUCCGCGUGAGUGAAGAAGGCCUUCGGGUUGUAAAGCUCUUUUGUCGGGGACGAAACGGUUACGACUAAUACUCGUGACAACUGACGGUACCCGAAGAAUAAGCACCGGCUAACUACGUGCCAGCAGCCGCGGUAAUACGUAGGGUGCGAGCGUUAAUCGGAAUUACUGGGCGUAAAGCGUGCGCAGGCGGUUUUGUAAGCCAGAUGUGAAAUCCCCGGGCUUAACCUGGGAAUGGCAUUUGGGACUGC